rnacentral:rRNA from 1 species
UGCGUAGGUGGCCUUUUAAGUUGGAUGUGAAAUACCCGGGCUUAACUUGGGGGUGCAUCUAAUACUGGGAGGCUAGAGUGCAGGAGAGGGAAGCGGAAUUCCUAGUGUAGCGGUGAAAUGCGUAGAUAUUAGGAGGAACACCAGUGGCGAAGGCGGCUUUCUGGACUGUAACUGACACUGAGGCACGAAAGCGUGGGGAGCGAACGG